GAAAUAUACAAAAAAAUAAGCUUCUAACUUAAUUUAAAGCAUUAACUUGUUUAUAUUUCU
rnacentral:tRNA from 1 species